GAUGAACGCUGGCGGCGUGCCUAAUACAUGCAAGUCGAGCGAACAGACGAGGAGCUUGCUCCCCUGACGUUAGCGGCGGACGGGUGAGUAACACGUGGAUAACCUACCUAUAAGACUGGGAUAACUUCGGGAAACCGGAGCUAAUACCGGAUAAUAUAUUGAACCGCAUGGUUCAAUAGUGAAAGACGGUUUUGCUGUCACUUAUAGAUGGUUCCCAGCCGCAUUAGCUAGUUGGUAAGGUAACGGCUUACCAAGGCAACGAUGCGUAGCCGACCUGAGAGGGUGAUCGGCCACACUGGAACUGAGACACGGUCCAGACUCCUACGGGAGGCAGCAGUAGGGAAUCUUCCGCAAUGGGCGAAAGCCUGACGGAGCAACGCCGCGUGAGUGAUGAAGGUCUUCGGAUCGUAAAACUCUGUUAUUAGGGAAGAACAAAUGUGUAAGUAACUAUGCACGUCUUGACGGUACCUAAUCAGAAAGCCACGGCUAACUACGUG
rnacentral:rRNA from 1 species